rnacentral:rRNA from 1 species
AAAUUGAAGAGUUUGAUCAUGGCUCAGAUUGAACGCUGGCGGCAGGCCUAACACAUGCAAGUCGAACGGUAACAGGAAGCAGCUUGCUGUUUCGCUGACGAGUGGCGGACGGGUGAGUAAUGUCUGGGAAACUGCCUGAUGGAGGGGGAUAACUACUGGAAACGGUGGCUAAUACCGCAUAACGUCGC